rnacentral:rRNA from 1 species
AUACGGAGGGGGUUAGCGUUGUUCGGAGUUACUGGGCGUAAAGCGCACGUAGGCGGAUUGGAAAGUUGGGGGUGAAAUCCCAGGGCUCAACCCUGGAACUGCCUCCAAAACUAACAGUCUAGAGGUCGAGAGAGGUGAGUGGAAUUCCAAGUGUAGAGGUGAAAUUCGUAGAUAUUUGGAGGAACACCAGUGGCGAAGGCGGCUCACUGGCUCGAUACUGACGCUGAGGUGCGAAAGCGUGGGGAGCAAACAGGAUUAGAUACCCCAGUGGUCC